rnacentral:lncRNA from 1 species
CAAUAAAAUAACUGAGUUGAACACACACAUAUCUAUAUAUAUACAAGUAAAACUAACUAAGAGUCCCCUGUCCUCAGCUCUAAAGACUGUUUUAUAAAGGAACCUGUUUUUUUUCACUUGGUUUAUAUUAGAAGGAUUUAGUAGGACUACUAGUUUUUCAGUGUCAGAUAGAUUUGGAAACAUAGGGUUAUCUAUUGCCAUGUCAUUAAAAAGUUUUAUACGUAAAACAUUAUUAAUUUGACAGUAGAGGAGAAAGUGAUUUUCAUCUUCUAAGGUUUUACAAGUUGGACAUGUUC